UUGAACGCUGGCGGCAGGCCUAACACAUGCAAGUCGAGCGGUUGAGAGUAGCUUGCUACUUGAUGCAGCGGCGGACGGGUGAGUAACGCGUGGGAAUCUGCCCAGUAGUGGGGGACAACAGCCGGAAACGGCUGCUAAUACCGCAUACGCCCUACGGGGGAAAGGGGGGGAUCUUCGGACCUCUCGCUAUUGGAUGAGCCCGCGUCGGAUUAGCUAGUUGGUAGGGUAAAGGCCUACCAAGGCUACGAUCCGUAACUGGUCUGAGAGGAUGAUCAGUCACACUGGAACUGAGACACGGUCCAGACUCCUACGGGAGGCAGCAGUGGGGAAUAUUGGACAAUGGGGGAAACCCUGAUCCAGCCAUGCCGCGUGUGUGAAGAAGGCCUUAGGGUUGUAAAGCACUUUCAGUGGGGAGAAAGGUUUGUCACCUAAUACGUGAUGAAAUUGAUGUUACCCACAGAAGAAGCACCGGCUAACUCCGUGCCAGCAGCCGCGGUAA
rnacentral:rRNA from 1 species